rnacentral:rRNA from 1 species
ACUCCUACGGGAGGCAGCAGUGGGGAAUAUUGCACAAUGGACGAAAGUCUGAUGCAGCAACGCCGCGUGGAGGAUGACACAUUUCGGUGCGUAAAACUCCUUUUAUAUAGGAAGAUGAUGACGGUACUAUAUGAAUAAGCACCCGGGCUAAACUCCCGUGCCAGCAGCCGCGGUAAUACGGAGGGUGCAAGCGUUACUCGGAAUCACUGGGCGUAAAGAGCGUGUAGGCGGAUAGAUAAGUCAGGAGUGAAAAUCCUAUGGCUCAACCAUAGAACUGCUCUUGAAAACUGUCAAUCUAGAAUGUGGGAGAGGUAGAUGGAAUUUCUGGUGUAGGGGUAAAAUCCGUAGAGAUCAGAAGGAAUACCGAUUGCGAAGGCGAUCUACUGGAACAUAAUUGACGCUGAGACGCGAAAGCGUGGGAGCAAACAGGAUUAGAUACCCUGGUAGACUGUCAU